rnacentral:tRNA from 1 species
GGGGUUGUCUCUCAGUGGUACAGCGCUCCCCUAGCAUGUGUGAGGUCCUGGGUUCGAACCUCAGCACCACA